UGCUCCCUUUUCCAUUUCUCUGCUGACUAUGAACAAACACACUCUCAUAGUUUUAUCAAUUCUUUGGUAACAAUUAGAAAAUACAAGCACUAGUUCGCGUUGACAGCCCAGGAUCUGUGAAUUCUCUGCUCUGAGCCCAUCCGGACUUCCCCAAUCCCAGCUUUCUCUCCUUUGAAAACACUAAGACUAAUGUCACUGCAUUGGUUUUUACUAGAGUCAAUUACCUGUCAUGCCUGGAACAGGGAUCGUACCCAGAUUGCCCUUAGUCAAAAUAAUCACGAACUGCACAUCUAUAAGAAGUACGGGAGCCAGUGGGUGAAAGCUUAUGAACUCAGUGAGCACAAUGGACACAUCACAGGUAUUGACUGGGUUCCCAAGAGCAACCGCAUCGUCACUUACGGGGUAGACCGCGAUGCCUAUGUCUGGAGUCAAAAAGAUGGUGUCUGGAAACCAACCGUGAUGAUCCUGAGAAUUAAUCGUGCAGCUGCUUUUGUGAAGUGGUCCCCCCUAGAGAACAAAUUUGCUGUGGGAAGUGGAGCACGACUCAUUUCUGUUUGUUGAGUCCGAAAUGACUGGUGAGUGAGCAAGCACAUUAAAAAGUCGAUGCGCUCCACAAUCCUCAGCUUGGACUGGCAUCCCAACAAUGUUUUGCUGGCAGCAGGAUCAUGUGACUUCAAAUGCAGAGUGUUUUCUGCCUACAUUAAAGAAGUGGAUGAGAAGCCAGUCAGCAUGCCCUGGGGCAGCAAGAUGCCUUUUGGGCAGCUGAUGUCAGAGUUUGGUGGCAGUGGCACUGGUGGCUGGGUCCACGGGGUAAGCUUCUCUGCCAGUAGGAGCCGCCUGGCCUGGGUCAGCCACGACAGCACUGUGUCUGUUGCUGAUGCCUCAAAAAGUGUGCAGGUCUCAACUCUGAGGACGGAGUUCCUGCUGCUCCUGAGUGUGUCAUUGGUCUCGGACAACAGCAUCGUGGCUACUGGCCAUGCCUGCCGCCCAGUGCUCUUUAACUACGAUGACCAUGGCUGCCCGACCUUCAUCUCCAAGUUAGACAUUCCAAAACAGCAUCCAACGCAACACGUCUGCCAUGGAACGCUUCCGCAACAUGGACAAGAGGGCCACGACUGAGGACGGCAACAUGGCCUUGGAGACUCCGCACCAGGAUAGCAUCACUCAAGUCUCUAUUUAUGAGGUGGACAAGCAAGAUUGUCGCAAAUUUUCCGCUACUGGCAUUGAUGAAGCCAUGACAAUUUGGGAUUUCAAGACCCUUGAGUUUUCCAUCCAGGUCCUCCGGAUGAUGUGAAGCUGAGUGAGCCUUUGCCAUCCAGAAUGACAAACUGUGGUCAACAGCAGCUGUGCCGUGGCACGAUGGCGAGGAAGCCAGACCCAAGGAAACACUGAAAACACAUCACGCCAAUGC